AGAGUUUGAUCAUGGCUCAGGACGAACGCUGGCGGCGUGCUUAACACAUGCAAGUCGAACGAUGAAGCCCUUCGGGGUGGAUUAGUGGCGAACGGGUGAGUAACACGUGGGCAAUCUGCCCUUCACUCUGGGACAAGCCCUGGAAACGGGGUCUAAUACCGGAUAACACUCUGUCCCGCAUGGGACGGGGUUAAAAGCUCCGGCGGUGAAGGAUGAGCCCGCGGCCUAUCAGCUUGUUGGUGGGGUGAUGGCCUACCAAGGCGACGACGGGUAGCCGGCCUGAGAGGGCGACCGGCCACACUGGGACUGAGACACGGCCCAGACUCCUACGGGAGGCAGCAGUGGGGAAUAUUGCACAAUGGGCGAAAGCCUGAUGCAGCGACGCCGCGUGAGGGAUGACGGCCUUCGGGUUGUAAACCUCUUUCAGCAGGGAAGAAGCGAGAGUGACGGUACCUGCAGAAGAAGCGCCGGCUAACUACGUGCCAGCAGCCGCGGUAAUACGUAGGGCGCAAGCGUUGUCCGGAAUUAUUGGGCGUAAAGAGCUCGUAGGCGGCUUGUUGCGUCGGUUGUGAAAGCCCGGGGCUUAACCCCGGGUCUGCAGUCGAUACGGGCAGGCUAGAGUGUGGUAGGGGAGAUCGGAAUUCCUGGUGUAGCGGUGAAAUGCGCAGAUAUCAGGAGGAACACCGGUGGCGAAGGCGGAUCUCUGGGCCAUUACUGACGCUGAGGAGCGAAAGCGUGGGGAGCGAACAGGAUUAGAUACCCUGGUAGUCCACGCCGUAAACGUUGGGAACUAGGUGUUGGCGACAUUCCACGUCGUCGGUGCCGCAGCUAACGCAUUAAGUUCCCCGCCUGGGGAGUACGGCCGCAAGGCUAAACUCAAAGGAAUUGACGGGGGCCCGCACAAGCAGCGGAGCAUGUGGCUUAAUUCGACGCAACGCGAAGAACCUUACCAAGG
rnacentral:rRNA from 1 species